rnacentral:rRNA from 1 species
GCGUUCUGUAAGCCUGCGAAGGUGGCCUGUGAGGGUUGCUGGAGGUAUCAGAAGUGCGAAUGCUGACAUAAGUAACGAUAAAGCGGGUGAAAAGCCCGCUCGCCGGAAGACCAAGGGUUCCUGUCCAACGUUAAUCGGGGCAGGGUGAGUCGACCCCUAAGGCGAGGCCGAAAGGCGUAGUCGAUGGGAAACAGGUUAAUAUUCCUGUACUUGGUGUUACUGCGAAGGGGGGACGGAGAAGGCUAUGUUAGCCGGGCGACGGUUGUCCCGGUUUAAGCAUGUAGGCGGAGGUUC